rnacentral:lncRNA from 1 species
GUGGGCUUUUUUUUCACCCUGCUUUAAAAGCCCUUGGGCCCUUCCCAGCUGGGUGCCAGCCAACUGUGGCUGCCUGGGACACUCCAUCUUAAGUCCCUGUGCCUCUGCUGUGUGUUACUGAGUGCCUAGGCCGUGCCAGCCUGUAUUCAUCUGUACUAUGACCUGAAGAGGCAGAGGCCAUCACUGUUGGUCCGGUCUCCACCUGGGGAAACUGAGGUUGCACAGUUGCGUGGUGGAGUGAGGGCAGGGCCUGGGUCUGGGGGCGGGGCCUGGGUCUGACCCCAGGGACUGGUUUUUGUGUUCAGGUGUCUCUGUGGUGACGAGCAGGGCUUCAUCCAGUGCCUCUGUCCCCACCGAGGGGACUAUGGGAGACAUGGAGGGUGUGUGAGCAACAGGUGAGACUGGAGCCAGCUGAAAACUGGGAGACCGACCCAGCCAACAAACAAUGUCGGUCUCUGUCUUGGCACCUGCAGGAAACAAGCUCCUACUUCCAGAAAAAGUGCUCCUGGGACUCCAGGAUACCAGGCAUCUGGGUAAGCUACAAUGCUUAACCACUUAACACAAUCAGGAAGCAACAGCCAUGCAUUCGGGAAAGGAACUUCAGUGUUGUGUGGCUCAGUCUCCAGACCUAACUUUCCCUUUGGUACAGACGCGGUGGUACAUGCCUGUAAUCCCAACACUUAGGCAGGAGGAUCACUCGAGCCCAGAAGAUCAAGACUAGUGUGAGCAACAAAGUGAG